rnacentral:rRNA from 1 species
GAUAAACGCUGGCGGCGUGCUUUAAGCAUGCAAGUCGCACGGAUACUCGCAAGAGUGUGAGUGGCAGACGGCUGAGGAAGACGGAAGGAACCUGCCCUUCAGAGGGGGAUAACUCCGCGAAAGCGGGGCUAAGACCGCGUACGCUCGUGGUGGGGAGAGCACCACGAGGAAAGCCGCAAGGCGCUGAGGGAGGGGCUUCCGGCCCAUCAGGUAGUUGGUGAGGUAAGAGCCCACCAAGCCGAUGACGGGUCGCUGGUCUAAGAGGAUGAU